rnacentral:tRNA from 1 species
GACAGAGUGCCCGAGUGGUUAAGGGGAGUGACUUGAACCGCUAGGCCCUAAUGUGAUCCACAAGAUUGUGGUUCCCAUCAGCCUGACCAUCGAUAUCACUUGGUUUCGGCCUCGCAGGUUCGAAUCCUGUCUCUGUCG